rnacentral:rRNA from 1 species
UCCUACGGGAGGCAGCAGUGAGGAAUAUUGGUCAAUGGACGCAAGUCUGAACCAGCCAUGCCGCGUGCAGGAAGACGGCUCUAUGAGUUGUAAACUGCUUUUGUACGAGGGUAAACGCAGAUACGUGUAUCUGUCUGAAAGUAUCGUACGAAUAAGGAUCGGCUAACUCCGUGCCAGCAGCCGCGGUAAUACGGAGGAUUCAAGCGUUAUCCGGAUUUAUUGGGUUUAAAGGGUGCGCAGGCGGCACGGCAAGCCGGCGGUCAAAUCGCGGGGCUCAACCCCGCCCAGCCGUCGGAACUGCCGGG